UUAAAGUAGUAAGGGCGCAGGGUGGAUGCCUUGGCACUAAGAGCCGAUGAAAGACGUGAUAAGCUGCGAAAAGCUUCGGGGAGGAGCACAUAUCCAAUGAUCCGGAGAUAUCUGAAUGGGGAAACCCGGCAGAGGAAACCUCUGUCAGCGUGCAGUGAAUACAUAGCUGUACGUGGGGAACCCGGGGAACUGAAACAUCUAAGUACCCGGAGGAAGAGAAAGAAAAUUUAUCGAUUUCCAAAGUAGCGGCGAGCGAAAUGGAAAGAGCCCAAACCGUGAUGCGUGCAUCGCGGGGUUCGGACUGCGUUGUGGCAGACGUAAGAUAGGAGAACGGACUGGGAAGUCCGGCCGGAGAGAGUGAAAGCCUCGUAUCCGAAAUCCCAAGUCGCCUAGCAGGAUCCAGAGUAGGACGAGACACGAGAAACCUUGUCUGAAUGAGCGGGGACCACCCCGUAAGGCUAAAUACUUCUUAGUGACCGAUAGCGCAUAGUACUGUGAAGGAAAGGUGAAAAGUACCCCGGGAGGGGAGUGAAAGAGAACCUGAAACCCUGUGUCUACAAGCUGUGGGACCUCUUUAUAUGAGGGACUGCGUACUUUUUGUAGAACGGUCCGGCGAGUUGUGCGUACUGGCGAGGUUAAGGACUUAAGGUCCGGAGCCGAAGUGAAAGCAAGCGUUAAUAGCGCGUCAAGUCAGUGAGUGCAGACCCGAAACCGGGUGACCUAUCCAUGUCCAGGUUGAAGCUUCCGUAAGAGGAAGUGGAGGACCGAACCCACAUCCGUUGAAAAGGGUGGGGAUGAGGUGUGGAUAGCGGAGAAAUUCCAAUCGAACCCGGAGAUAGCUGGUUCUCCUCGAAAUAGCUUUAGGGCUAGCCUCAUGAGAGUCUUAUGGAGGUAGAGCACUGAAUUGCCUAGGGGGCGUCAAAGCUUACCAAAGCAUAUCAAACUCCGAAUGCCAUCAAGAUGAUUCAUGGGAGUCAGACCAUACGAGAUAAGUUGGAUGGUCAAAAGGGAAAGAGCCCAGACCUACAGCUAAGGUCCCAAAGUACGUGUUAAGUGGAAAAGGAUGUGGGGAUUCUAAGACAACUAGGACGUUGGCUUAGAAGCAGCCAUUCAUUGAAAGAGUGCGUAAUAGCUCACUAGUCGAGAGUCCCUGCGCCGAAAAUGUCCGGGGCUGAAACACGACACCGAAGCUUAGGAAUGUGUAAACAUUGGUAGAGGAGCAUUGCUGGCGGGAUGAAGCCAUACCGUAAGGAGUGGUGGACUGCCAGGAAGAGAGAAUGCCGGAAUGAGUAGCGAGAUGAAGGUGAGAAUCCUUCAGGCCGAAUAUCUAAGGUUUCCAGAGUAAAGCUGAUCUGCUCUGGGUAAGUCGGGACCUAAGGCGAGGUCGAAAGACGUAGUCGAUGGAUAACAGGUUGAAAUUCCUGUACCGCAUAUAAACAGAACUGUGGGGACACAGACAGGGAAUGGAAUCCGGGAGUGGAAAUCCCGGUGCAAGCGAGGUAGGAGUGCUGUUGGCAAAUCCGCAGCACGAUCUGAAGACGUGACGCGUACCGAACAUAAGUAGGGAAGUCCAGGCCCCUGGCUGUCAAGAAAAGCCGCUAUUGUUUUAUAUGUGCCCGUACCGCAAACCGACACAGGUGGAUGAGGAGAGAAUCCUAAGGCCGACGGGAGAAGUAUUGUUAAGGAACUCGGCAAAAUGACUCCGUAACUUCGGGAGAAGGAGUGCCAUGAGAGUGGCCGCAGAGAAAUGGCCCAAGCAACUGUUUAGCAAAAACACAGGUCUAUGCAAAACCGCAAGGUGAAGUAUAUGGGCUGACGCCUGCCCGGUGCUGGAAGGUUAAGGGGAGAGGUUAGCGCAAGCGAAGCUUUGAACUUAAGCCCCAGUAAACGGCGGCCGUAACUAUAACGGUCCUAAGGUAGCGAAAUUCCUUGUCGGGUAAGUUCCGACCCGCACGAAAGGCGUAAUGAUUUGGGCACUGUCUCAACGAUACACCCGGUGAAAUUGAAAUACCAGUGAAGAUGCUGGUUACCUGCGCCAGGACGGAAAGACCCCAUGGAGCUUUACUCCAGUUUGAUACUGGGAUACGGCAUGGUAUGUACAGGAUAGGUGGGAGACUGA
rnacentral:rRNA from 1 species